GAUGAACGCUGGCGGCGUGCAUAACACAUUCAAGUCGAACGGACGACGGGGAGCUUGCUCCCUGAAGUUAGUGGCGGACGGGUGAGUAACGCGUGAGCAACCUGCCUUGCAAAGCGGGAUAACAUCGGGAAACUGGUGCUAAUACCGCAUAACGUGUAUUAACCGCAUGAUAGAUACACCAAAGUAGCAAUACGAUGUAAGAUGGGCUCGCGUCUGAUUAGGUAGUUGGUGAGGUAACGGCUCACCAAGCCGACGAUCAGUAGCCGGACUGAGAGGUUGAACGGCCACAUUGGAACUGAGAAACGGUCCAGACUCCUACGGAGGCAGCAGUGGGAAUAUUGGGCAAUGGGCGAAAGCCUGACCCAGCGACGCCGCGUGAAGGAAGAAGGUCUUCGGAUUGUAAACUUUGUCAACAGGAAGAAGAAAGUGACGGUACCUGUUAAGAAAGCCACGGCUAACUACGUG
rnacentral:rRNA from 1 species